UUGUAUUUGCAGCACACAAAUUAUCACGAUUUGUUUUCAGUUUCAAAGAAAAUAAAUAUUUACUUGGGCUAACUAGCAUGUGUACCAGUUCAGGUAUGUGGCAUGCAAGCAGAGGAGAGGAUGAACUUGACAAUUACCAAUACUACUUCAUAUUUGAUUUGACAAGAUGCAAAAGAUAAAUGGAUGAUUAUAUGGGUGUGUGGCAAGUAUACUGCAAUGAUGAUAAUUUUGUUCCUGUUGUUGAUGAUGAUGAUGAUGAUGAUGAUGAUGAUGAUGAUGAUGACGACGACGAUGAUGAUGGAUGCUUUCAGUUUUAGUUAAGUUGUAGGGAUGAUGUUCAUGUUGGAUGAUGUUCCUCGGUUAAGUUUUAGAUAAGUUGUACGGAUGUGAUGGAUGCUUUCAGUCUAAGUUUGCUACCAAGAAAAUAUUUAGAUUAUACAUCACAUUAGAUGGUGUUCCUCCUGUAAUAUCCACUAUUGUAAUCCAACAAUUUUAUCAAAUAUAUGAUUUAUUCGUCUAGUGA